GGGGAUUUAGCUCAGUGGUAGAGCACUUGCCUAGCAAGCGCAAGGCUCUGGGUUCGGUCCCCAGCUCCA
rnacentral:tRNA from 1 species